AUUGCCUCUAGUGGCAUUGCAUGUGUGGCUGCUAAGCCACAUGUGUGUUAGUAGGUGGCAGAAAGAAGAAAGGCUACAUCUAUGAUGAGUAUGCUGACCCAUGGUCAUCUGAAUGAUGACCUAAAAUU